rnacentral:other from 1 species
GUUUCAAUUCCUUAUGGGUAGGCUACAAAC